AUAGGGGAGCCGGAGGGAAACCGAGUCUUAACCGGGCGUUAAGUUGCAGGGUAUAGACCCGAAACCCGGUGAUCUAGCCAUGGGCAGGUUGAAGGUUGGGUAACACUAACUGGAGGACCGAACCGACUAAUGUUGAAAAAUUAGCGGAUGAUCUGUGGCUGGGGGUGAAAGGCCAAUCAAACCGGGAGAUAGCUGGUUCUCCCCGAAAGCUAUUUAGGUAGCGCCUCGUGAAUUCAUCUCCGGGGGUAGAGCACUGUUUCGGCUAGGGGGCCAUCCCGGCUUACCAACCCGAUGCAAACUGCGAAUACCGGAGAAUGUUAUCACGGGAGACACACGGCGGGUGCUAACGUCCGUCGUGAAGAGGGAAACAACCCAGACCGCCAGCUAAGGUCCCAAAGUCAUGGUUAAGUGGGAAACGAUGUGGGAAGGCCCAGACAGCCAGGAUGUUGGCUUAGAAGCAGCCAUCAUUUAAAGAAAGCGUAAUAGCUCACUGGUCGAGUCGGCCUGCGCGGAAGAUGUAACGGGGCUAAACCAUGCACCGAAGCUGCGGCAGCGAACGUAUCACCCAAGACAACUUUACGGAGUUGACGAUUGACGGAGCGAAGCGACGUCAAAGCGUUCAUUAAAGUCGAGUUGGCUUAGGGAUACGUUCGUUGGGUAGGGGAGCGUUCUGUAAGCCUGUGAAGGUGUGUCGUGAGGCAUGCUGGAGGUAUCAGAAGUGCGAAUGCUGACAUAAGUAACGAUAAAGCGGGUGAAAAGCCCGCUCGCCGGAAGACCAAGGGUUCCUGUCCAACGUUAAUCGGGGCAGGGUGAGUCGACCCCUAAGGCGAGGCCGAAAGGCGUAGUCGAUGGGAAACGGGUUAAUAUUCCCGUACUUGGUGUUACUGCGAAGGGGGGACGGAGAAGGCUAUGUUGGCCGGGCGACGGUUGUCCCGGUUUAAGCGUGUAGGUGUGUGUUCCAGGUAAAUCCGGUUCACUUUAACACUGAGGCGUGACGACGAGGCACUACGGUGCUGAAGCAACAAAUGCCCUGCUUCCAGGAAAAGCCUCUAAGCAUCAGGUAACAUCAAAUCGUACCCCAAACCGACACAGGUGGUCAGGUAGAGAAUACCAAGGCGCUUGAGAGAACUCGGGUGAAGGAACUAGGCAAAAUGGUGCCGUAACUUCGGGAGAAGGCACGCUGACACGUAGGUGAAGUGAUUUACUCAUGGAGCUGAAGUCAGUCGAAGAUACCAGCUGGCUGCAACUGUUUAUUAAAAACACAGCACUGUGCAAACACGAAAGUGGACGUAUACGGUGUGACGCCUGCCCGGUGCCGGAAGGUUAAUUGAUGGGGUCAGCGCAAGCGAAGCUCCUGAUCGAAGCCCCGGUAAACGGCGGCCGUAACUAUAACGGUCCUAAGGUAGCGAAAUUCCUUGUCGGGUAAGUUCCGACCUGCACGAAUGGCGUAAUGAUGGCCAGGCUGUCUCCACCCGAGACUCAGUGAAAUUGAACUCGCUGUGAAGAUGCAGUGUACCCGCGGCAAGACGGAAAGACCCCGUGAACCUUUACUAUAGCUUGACACUGAACAUUGAGCCUUGAUGUGUAGGAUAGGUGGGAGGCUUUGAAGUGUGGACGCCAGUCUGCAUGGAGCCGACCUUGAAAUACCACCCUUUAAUGUUUGAUGUUCUAACGUGGACCCGUAAUCCGGGUUGCGGACAGUGUCUGGUGGGUAGUUUGACUGGGGCGGUCUCCUCCUAAAGAGUAACGGAGGAGCACGAAGGUUGGCUAAUCCUGGUCGGACAUCAGGAGGUUAGUGCAAUGGCAUAAGCCAGCUUGACUGCGAGCGUGACGGCGCGAGCAGGUGCGAAAGCAGGUCAUAGUGAUCCGGUGGUUCUGAAUGGAAGGGCCAUCGCUCAACGGAUAAAAGGUACUCCGGGGAUAACAGGCUGAUACCGCCCAAGAGUUCAUAUCGACGGCGGUGUUUGGCACCUCGAUGUCGGCUCAUCACAUCCUGGGGCUGAAGUAGGUCCCAAGGGUAUGGCUGUUCGCCAUUUAAAGUGGUACGCGAGCUGGGUUUAGAACGUCGUGAGACAGUUCGGUCCCUAUCUGCCGUGGGCGCUGGAGAACUGAGGGGGGCUGCUCCUAGUACGAGAGGACCGGAGUGGACGCAUCACUGGUGUUCGGGUUGUCAUGCCAAUGGCACUGCCCGGUAGCUAAAUGCGGAAGAGAUAAGUGCUGAAAGCAUCUAAGCACGAAACUUGCCCCGAGAUGAGUUCU
rnacentral:rRNA from 1 species